rnacentral:rRNA from 1 species
CCUACGGGAGGCAGCAGUGAGGAAUAUUGGUCAAUGGCCGGGAGGCUGAACCAGCAAAGCCGCGUGAAGGAAGAAGGAUCUAUGGUUUGUAAGCUUCUUUUUUAGGGGAAUAAAGGUAUUUACGUGUGGAUAUUUGCAUGUACUCUAUGAAUAAGCAUCGGCGAACUACGUGCCAGCAGCCGCGGUAAUACGGAGGAUGGGAGCGUUAUCCGGAUUUAUUGGGUUUAAAGGGUGCGUAGGUUGUUUUUUAAGUCAGCGGUUAAAGUUUGUGGCUCAACCAUAAAAUUGCCGUUGAAACUGGAAGACUUGAGUGUGUUUGAGGUAGGCGGAAUGCGUGGUGUAGCGGUGAAAUGCAUAGAUA